rnacentral:rRNA from 1 species
UACGGAUGACACAAGCGUUAUUCGGAUUUAUUGGGUUUAAAGGGUGUGUAGGCUGUUUAUUAAGUCAGUAGUGAAAGCUUACAGCUUAACUGUAAAAUUGCUAUUGAUACUGGUAAGCUUGAGUAAGAUUGGAGCAUCUGGAAUGUAUGGUGUAGCGGUGAAAUGCAUAGAUAUCAUACAGAACACCGAUAGCGAAGGCAGGCUGCUAAAUCUUUACUGACGCUGAGUGCACGAAAGCGUGGGGAGCAAACAGG